GAUGAACGCUCGCGGCAGGCUUAACACAUGCAAGUCGAGGGGUAUUUAUCUUCGGAUAGAGAGACCGGCGCACGGGUGCGUAACGCGUAUGCAAUCUACCUUUUACAGAGGGAUAGCCCAGAGAAAUUUGGAUUAAUACCUCAUAGUAUAUAGACUCGGCAUCGAGAUUAUAUUAAAGUCACAACGGUAAAAGAUGAGCAUGCGUCCCAUUAGCUAGUUGGUAAGGUAACGGCUUACCAAGGCUACGAUGGGUAGGGGUCCUGAGAGGGAGAUCCCCCACACUGGUACUGAGACACGGACCAGACUCCUACGGGAGGCAGCAGUGAGGAAUAUUGGACAAUGGGCGCAAGCCUGAUCCAGCCAUGCCGCGUGCAGGAGGACGGUCCUAUGGAUUGUAAACUGCUUUUAUACGAGAAGAAACACUGCUACGUGUAGCAGCUUGACGGUAUCGUAAGAAUAAGGAUCGGCUAACUCCGUG
rnacentral:rRNA from 1 species